UAUGAUUAAAACUAAAAUUACAUUUUCAAAAAA
rnacentral:sRNA from 1 species